rnacentral:rRNA from 1 species
CAUGAUGAACGCUGGCGGCGUGCCUAAUACAUGCAAGUCGAGCGAACGGACGAGAAGCUUGCUUCUCUGAUGUUAGCGGCGGACGGGUGAGUAACACGUGGAUAACCUACCUAUAAGACUGGGAUAACUUCGGGAAACCGGAGCUAAUACCGGAUAAUAUUUUGAACCGCAUGGUUCAAAAGUGAAAGACGGUCUUGCUGUCACUUAUAGAUGGAUCCGCGCUGCAUUAGCUAGUUGGUAAGGUAACGGCUUACCAAGGCAACGAUGCAUAGCCGACCUGAGAGGGUGAUCGGCCACACUGGAACUGAGACACGGUCCAGACUCCUACGGGAGGCAGCAGUAGGGAAUCUUCCGCAAUGGGCGAAAGCCUGACGGAGCAACGCCGCGUGAGUGAUGAAGGUCUUCGGAUCGUAAAACUCUGUUAUUAGGGAAGAACAUAUGUGUAAGUAACUGUGCACAUCUUGACGGUACCUAAUCAGAAAGCCACGGCUAACUACGUGCCAGCAGCCGCGGUAAUACGUAGGUGGCAAGCGUUAUCCGGAAUUAUUGGGCGUAAAGCGCGCGUAGGCGGUUUUUUAAGUCUGAUGUGAAAGCCCACGGCUCAACCGUGGAGGGUCAUUGGAAACUGGAAAACUUGAGUGCAGAAGAGGAAAGUGGAAUUCCAUGUGUAGCGGUGAAAUGCGCAGAGAUAUGGAGGAACACCAGUGGCGAAGGCGACUUUCUGGUCUGUAACUGACGCUGAUGUGCGAAAGCGUGGGGAUCAAACAGGAUUAGAUACCCUGGUAGUCCACGCCAUAAACGAUGAGUGCUAAGUGUUAGGGGGUUUCCGCCCCUUAGUGCUGCAGCUAACGCAUUAAGCACUCCGCCUGGGGAGUACGACCGCAAGGUUGAAACUCAAAGGAAUUGACGGGGACCCGCACAAGCGGUGGAGCAUGUGGUUUAAUUCGAAGCAACGCGAAGAACCUUACCAAAUCUUGACAUCCUUUGACAACUCUAGAGAUAGAGCCUUCCCCUUCGGGGGACAAAGUGACAGGUGGUGCAUGGUUGUCGCCAGCUCGUGUCGUGAGAUGUUGGGUUAAGUCCCGCAACGAGCGCAACCCUUAAGCUUAGUUGCCAUCAUUAAGUUGGGCACUCUAAGUUGACUGCCGGUGACAAACCGGAGGAAGGUGGGGAUGACGUCAAAUCAUCAUGCCCCUUAUGAUCUGGGCUACACACGUGCUACAAUGGACAAUACAAAGGGCAGCGAAACCGCGAGGUCAAGCAAAUCCCAUAAAGUUGUUCUCAGUUCGGAUUGUAGUCUGCAACUCGACUACAUGAAGCUGGAAUCGCUAGUAAUCGUAGAUCAGCAUGCUACGGUGAAUACGUUCCCGGGUCUUGUACACACCGCCCGUCACACCACGAGAGUUUGUAACACCCGAAGCCGGUGGAGUAACCUUUUAGGAGCUAGCCGUCGAAGGUGGGACAAAUGA